UUUAUGCUGUUGCACCACAUCACAAUAGAGAUUUAAUUACAUACAUUGAGUGAAAAAUAUUUUUAUAGUUGUUUUCUAUGUGUUUGCUACAUUAAUAAACAUAUAAGAAAUUAUUAGGUGAAUGAUUUACAAGAAUCACAGAGGUUUUACAGUAACACCGAAGACACUAAUUGAUAUGAUUCAGAUGUGAGUGAUUAGGUAGUCAGUGUACAGUAGUAGUUCCAUUACAAAAUGAAUAGAAAUAAAUCAUUGGGUUUAGAAUUAAAGUCAGAGGCAUAAACCAGCUCCUUAGAGAAACUGGUGUACUGUAUGAUACACUAGGGUUUAGUUACAGUUUAAUAACAGACAAUCAUGUUAGAGGUAUACGCCAGUCCCUUAGAGAAACUGGUGUACUGUAUGAUACACUAGGGUUAGAGGUAUAAACCAGUCCCUUAGAGAAACUGGUGUACUGUAUGAUACACUAGGGUUAGAGGUAUAAACCAGUCCCUUAGAGAAACUGGUGUACUGUAUGAUACACUAGGGUUAGAGGUAUACGCCAGUCCCUUAGAGAAACUGGUGUACUGUAUGAUACAC
rnacentral:lncRNA from 1 species